CCCCUUUUAAAAGCAGUCAGUGGGCCUUUUGCUAGUGACCCAUUGAGUCAUUAAGAAGGGGCAGAAUAAAAACACUGCUUUUGGGUGAGGGAGCAACUUGUGCUGUUUACUUCAGUCAGUGUUGUGACAAGA
ensembl:snoRNA